rnacentral:tRNA from 1 species
AAGGGAGACCUAAUUCAGGUAGGAGACGAAAAAAAAGUAGUCGCUACCAAGAAUCAAUCCCAAAAGGUCGGAGCGAGGCGAAAUUGGCUUUCAAACUAGGUUCUGGGCUCAAACAAGACCUGAAUCAGGAACAAGGGCUAUUAGCUCAGGUGGUUAGAGCGCACCCCUGAUAAGGGUGAGGUCCCUGGUUCGAGUCCAGGAUGGCCCACCUGUACAGGUGGCAAAAACAAGAGAAGCGAGGAAUCAGCACCUUAUCUUACUGACAUAGUAAGAGAGAAUGCUGGCUCUGAGUUCAGAGUCCAGAGGAACCUUGAAAACUGCAUAGAGCUAGGUGAAAAAGCCAAAAAAGAAGACCGCAAGGUCAAGCUAAUAAGGGCUAACGGUGGAUACCUAGGCAC